CUAGAGCCUGCGUAAGAUUAGCUUGUUGGUAGGGUAAAAGCCUACCAAGGCGACGAUCUUUAGCUGGUCUGAGAGGAUGAUCAGCCACAUCGGGACUGAGACACGGCCCGAACUCCUACGGGAGGCAGCAGUGGGGAAUAUUGGACAAUGGGGGCAACCCUGAUCCAGCAAUACCGCGUGUGUGAAGAAGGCCUGAGGGUUGUAAAGCACUUUCAAUUGUGAAGAAAAGUUAGCGGUUAAUAACCGUUAGCCUUGACGUUAACUUUAGAAGAAGCACCGGCUAACUCCGUGCCAGCAGCCGCGGUAAUACGGAGGGUGCAAGCGUUAAUCGGAAUUACUGGGCGUAAAGCGUGCGUAGGCGGUUUAUUAAGUCAGAUGUGAAAGCCCCGGGCUUAACCUGGGAACUGCAUUUGAAACUGGUCAACUAGAGUAUGGUAGAGGAAAGUGGAAUUUCUGGUGUAGCGGUGAAAUGCGUAGAUAUCAGAAGGAACAUCAAUGGCGAAGGCAGCUUUCUGGACCAAUACUGACGCUGAGGUACGAAAGCGUGGGUAGCAAACAGGAUUAGAUACCCUGGUAGUCCACGCCGUAAACGAUGAUAACUAGCCGUUGGGGGGAUUUACCCUUUAGUGGCGAAGCUAACGCGUUUAAGUUAUCCGCCUGGGGAGUACGGCCG
rnacentral:rRNA from 1 species